rnacentral:rRNA from 1 species
GGUUAAGCGACUAAGCGUACACGGUGGAUGCCCUGGCAGUCAGAGGCGAUGAAGGGCGUGCUAAUCUGCGAUAAGCGCCGGUAAGGUGAUAUGAACCGUUAUAACCGGCGAUACCCGAAUGGGGAAACCCAGUGUGAUUCGUCACACUAUCAUUAACUGAAUCCAUAGGUUAAUGAGGCGAACCGGGGGAACUGAAACAUCUAAGUACCCCGAGGAAAAGAAAUCAACCGAGAUUCCCCCAGUAGCGGCGAGCGAACGGGGAGGAGCCCAGAGCCUGAAUCAGCAUGUGUGUUAGUGGAAGCGUCUGGAAAGGCGCGCGAUACAGGGUGACAGCCCCGUACACAAAAGCGCAUGUGCUGUGAGCUCGAUGAGUAGGGCGGGACACGUGGUAUCCUGUCUGAAUAUGGGGGGACCAUCCUCCAAGGCUAAAUACUCCUGACUGACCGAUAGUGAACCAGUACCGUGAGGGAAAGGCGAAAAGAACCCCGGCGAGGGGAGUGAAAAAGAACCUGAAACCGUGUACGUACAAGCAGUGGGAGCCCCACCACUAAGCCAGUGGUGAACUCCACAUACGCAUCCUUUGCUGAGGAUACGGUUAACGGAGCGAAAGCGACGUUCAACCUCAAAAGAAGCAGAGGGGGCUUAGUGGUGGGGUGACUGCGUACCUUUUGUAUAAUGGGUCAGCGACUUAUAUUCUGUAGCAAGGUUAACCGUAUAGGGGAGCCGGAGGGAAACCGAGUCUUAACCGGGCGUUAAGUUGCAGGGUAUAGACCCGAAACCCGGUGAUCUAGCCAUGGGCAGGUUGAAGGUUGGGUAACACUAACUGGAGGACCGAACCGACUAAUGUUGAAAAAUUAGCGGAUGACCUGUGGCUGGGGGUGAAAGGCCAAUCAAACCGGGAGAUAGCUGGUUCUCCCCGAAAGCUAUUUAGGUAGCGCCUCGUGAAUUCAUCUCCGGGGGUAGAGCACUGUUUCGGCUAGGGGGUCAUCCCGACUUACCAACCCGAUGCAAACUGCGAAUACCGGAGAAUGUUAUCACGGGAGACACACGGCGGGUGCUAACGUCCGUCGUGAAGAGGGAAACAACCCAGACCGCCAGCUAAGGUCCCAAAGUCAUGGUUAAGUGGGAAACGAUGUGGGAAGGCCCAGACAGCCAGGAUGUUGGCUUAGAAGCAGCCAUCAUUUAAAGAAAGCGUAAUAGCUCACUGGUCGAGUCGGCCUGCGCGGAAGAUGUAACGGGGCUAAACCAUGCACCGAAGCUGCGGCAGCGACACUGUGUGUUGUUGGGUAGGGGAGCGUUCUGUAAGCCUGUGAAGGUGGCCUGUGAGGGUUGCUGGAGGUAUCAGAAGUGCGAAUGCUGACAUAAGUAACGAUAAAGCGGGUGAAAAGCCCGCUCGCCGGAAGACCAAGGGUUCCUGUCCAACGUUAAUCGGGGCAGGGUGAGUCGACCCCUAAGGCGAGGCCGAAAGGCGUAGUCGAUGGGAAACGGGUUAAUAUUCCCGUACUUGGUGUUACUGCGAAGGGGGGACGGAGAAGGCUAUGUUGGCCGGGCGACGGUUGUCCCGGUUUAAGCGUGUAGGUGUGUGUUCCAGGUAAAUCCGGUUCACUUUAACACUGAGGCGUGACGACGAGGCACUACGGUGCUGAAGCAACAAAUGCCCUGCUUCCAGGAAAAGCCUCUAAGCAUCAGGUAACAUCAAAUCGUACCCCAAACCGACACAGGUGGUCAGGUAGAGAAUACCAAGGCGCUUGAGAGAACUCGGGUGAAGGAACUAGGCAAAAUGGUGCCGUAACUUCGGGAGAAGGCACGCUGACACGUAGGUGAAGUGAUUUACUCACGGAGCUGAAGUCAGUCGAAGAUACCAGCUGGCUGCAACUGUUUAUUAAAAACACAGCACUGUGCAAACACGAAAGUGGACGUAUACGGUGUGACGCCUGCCCGGUGCCGGAAGGUUAAUUGAUGGGGUCAGCGCAAGCGAAGCUCCUGAUCGAAGCCCCGGUAAACGGCGGCCGUAACUAUAACGGUCCUAAGGUAGCGAAAUUCCUUGUCGGGUAAGUUCCGACCUGCACGAAUGGCGUAAUGAUGGCCAGGCUGUCUCCACCCGAGACUCAGUGAAAUUGAACUCGCUGUGAAGAUGCAGUGUACCCGCGGCAAGACGGAAAGACCCCGUGAACCUUUACUAUAGCUUGACACUGAACAUUGAGCCUUGAUGUGUAGGAUAGGUGGGAGGCUUUGAAGCGUGGACGCCAGUCUGCGUGGAGCCGACCUUGAAAUACCACCCUUUAAUGUUUGAUGUUCUAACGUGGACCCGUGAUCCGGGUUGCGGACAGUGUCUGGUGGGUAGUUUGACUGGGGCGGUCUCCUCCUAAAGAGUAACGGAGGAGCACGAAGGUUGGCUAAUCCUGGUCGGACAUCAGGAGGUUAGUGCAAUGGCAUAAGCCAGCUUGACUGCGAGCGUGACGGCGCGAGCAGGUGCGAAAGCAGGUCAUAGUGAUCCGGUGGUUCUGAAUGGAAGGGCCAUCGCUCAACGGAUAAAAGGUACUCCGGGGAUAACAGGCUGAUACCGCCCAAGAGUUCAUAUCGACGGCGGUGUUUGGCACCUCGAUGUCGGCUCAUCACAUCCUGGGGCUGAAGUAGGUCCCAAGGGUAUGGCUGUUCGCCAUUUAAAGUGGUACGCGAGCUGGGUUUAGAACGUCGUGAGACAGUUCGGUCCCUAUCUGCCGUGGGCGCUGGAGAACUGAGGGGGGCUGCUCCUAGUACGAGAGGACCGGAGUGGACGCAUCACUGGUGUUCGGGUUGUCAUGCCAAUGGCACUGCCCGGUAGCUAAAUGCGGAAGAGAUAAGUGCUGAAAGCAUCUAAGCACGAAACUUGCCCCGAGAUGAGUUCUCCCUGAGACUUAAAGUCUCCUGAAGGAACGUUGAAGACGACGACGUUGAUAGGCCGGGUGUGUAAGCGCAGCGAUGCGUUGAGCUAACCGGUACUAAUGAACCGUGAGGCUUAACCUU